AGACUUUAUUUUUCAUCUAAAUUUAAUUUAUGUCUUUUUUUUAAGGUCUUCUAUGUAACUCUUCAUCAUUUCAUAUUUUCCUCUAGCUUCUUUAUUUUAUUUUAUUCUAUUUUUUGAGACAGAGUCUCGCUCUGUUGCCCAGGCUGAAGUGCAGUGGUGAGAUUUUGGCUCACUGCAACCUUCACCUCCUGAGUUCAAGUGAUUCCUGUGAUACUCUUCUAUGCAAUAGAAAGAGAUUAUAUUAAUUCACUCAUUGAGCUUUCACAGUAAUAUAAACCAUAUUAGGCUUGUCAUUCUGUCAGUGAUGGGUGUAAGUUUGUGGCUUUUAUUACUCAUACCAUCCUCUGACAAAGGCAUCCUAUUUCUCUUUCCAAUUUCACAAUAAGGUGCAGAAGAAGGUCUUUACCAUCUGUUAAAGAUGUUCAGGGCCGGGCAUGGUGGCUCACAACUGUUUCAAAAAAAAAAAGCAAAAAGAAAAGAAAAAGAAAGAAAAAAAGAGAGACUUUCUUUUCUAUCUAUUAUUACUAUCUUCUUCUAGACUGUAGUUCACUACCAGAGAUUAUCCACUUAGCUGCACUCAGUUUGCACCUGGCCUGUAUCACCACUUAGCUCUCACUCCAGCCUCAGUUAGGUAUCAGCAAGACCUCACCAAAGAUUAUUGUUUCAUUGUAUAUGUGUGUGUGUUUUUGUUUGUUUCAGGUAACAACUGAUGUUGGAACUAUGAAAAGCUCUUCUCUACUUUUAACAAAGCUUAGUCACAAACAGUUCCCCAGUUGACGAGAACAACUAAAACAACAGAACAAUUGAAAGUCCAAAUUUACAAAAAAAAAAAAAAAAAAAAAAUUAGUCAAGCAUGGUGGCACGUGCCUGUAAUCCCAGCUACUCAGGAGGCUGAGGCAGGAGAAUUGCUUGAACCCAGAAGGUGGAGCGUCUUUGAAAUUCACAGAGAAUAUGAAAAGCAGGUUGUCCUGUACAGUAUCUGCAAUCAGUUACGAUACAGAAAUAACUUAAACAUGUCAAGAAAGAUGAAUGCAGAUACUGUGAGGAAGUGCUAAAGUACAGCCAAGAUCAUCUCAUGCUGUACCCUUACCAUCUAUCGGAUAUUAUGGUGAAGGGCUUGAGCAUAACACCAUUUUCAUAUUAUACUGGGAUUAUGGAGAAUAUUAUGAACAGUGAGAAAAGUUAUGACUCAUUGCCCAAUUUUACUGCUGCUGACUGUCUAAGGCUUCUCGGCAUAGGAAGAAACCAGUAUAUUGAUCUUAUGAAUCAGUGUAGAUCAUCAAAAAAAUUCUUCAGAAGGAAAACAGCCCAUGAUCUUCUACCAAUAAAGCCAGUGGAAAUUGCCAUAGAGGCGUAGUGGGUGGUGCAGGCUGGAUAUAUCACAUAAGAUGACAUCAAGAUACGCACUUUGCCUGAGAAAUGUGCCUGAGAAAUCAGCUUCAUCGGCAACUGAUACUGAUACAAAUAGUCAAGAAGAUCCAGCUGACUCAGCCAGUGUAAGCAGCCUGAGUCUGUCUACAGGACACACGAAACGCAUCGCAUUCCUGUUUGACUCCAGUCUUAC
rnacentral:lncRNA from 1 species